CUCUUGUCUCACACUGCCACGAGUUAGCUGUGUGGCCUGAACACCCAGCUGUCCCUUUGGGCCUUAGUUCCUUCCUCAGUAAAAUAAGAGGCAACUGAGACACAAAGAAGUUAAGUAAUCUGUCCCCAUUCAAGAGAGAGAACAUGGGCUCCACCUCUUGAUGAGGGAGUGGCAAACUUUAGGAGAGCAUGUGGGACCAGAAACAUUGUCGCAACCAUUUGUAGAAAAUACAGUCUAACACAUCAUACUCUCCUUCAGAGAAUUGGAUGAACCAGAAGCAGAGACGCACUGUAUAGAAGAGUCCACAGAAUAUUUAGAACCUUAUGUAAAAAUCAGAAACUCCAAGAAUGCCAGCCAAGAAUUUUCUGAGGUAAGAAUUUUCUCAUUCCAAGCAAUGACCCAUCAGAGAAUCAAGAAGCUAAGGGAUUUGUGUCUAGAAUAGAUUUAUUCAAGUUCUGCUUGGGAUGACCUAACUUUAGUUGAGUUAGAAAAUAAAAAGUGGUUGUCAACCUAUACAUGGGUGUUUUCCUAGACAAGUAUUGUUCCAUGUUUAUCUUCAUGAAAAAGGGAAACAAAAGUCACACUAGCCAUACUUAGGAUUCGGAUCACAAAUUUUUUUUUCAUUUUAACAUGCACAGUAGAUCAGACAUAGCUUUGUUGUGGUCAGCACAACCUGGAUAGAAACAUAUUUUGAGUUUUUCUCUUAUUAAAUCUGUCUCUUUAAGUGUGAUAAAGCAGUUGAGAUAGAAAUCAGAUAUUUACUCCUCAGACUGGAGUAAAAUUUUCAUAGAGAAAUUUAGCUGACAAAUAUUAAGCAUUAUG
rnacentral:lncRNA from 1 species